rnacentral:rRNA from 1 species
UACAGAGGGGGCAAGCGUUGUUCGGAAUUACUGGGCGUAAAGGGCGCGUAGGCGGCCUUCUAAGUCGAACGUGAAAUCCCCGGGCUCAACCCAGGAAGUGCACUCGAAACUGGCGGGCUAGAGUAUCGGAGAGGUUGGUGGAAUUCUCGGUGUAGAGGUGAAAUUCGUAGAUAUCGAGAGGAACACCGGUGGCGAAGGCGGCCAACUGGACGAAUACUGACGCUGAGACACGAAAGCGUGGGGAGCAAACAGG